GCACUGUUGAGGAGUCCCACAAUAGGAUGAAACGGUCUUCCAGUAC
rfam:Schistosoma curassoni strain Dakar, Senegal genome assembly, scaffold: SCTD_contig0002453